AGUGAACGCUGGCGGUAGGCCUAACACAUGCAAGUCGAACGGCAGCACAGUAAGAGCUUGCUCUUACGGGUGGCGAGUGGCGGACGGGUGAGGAAUACAUCGGAAUCUACUUUUUCGUGGGGGAUAACGUAGGGAAACUUACGCUAAUACCGCAUACGACCUACGGGUGAAAGCAGGGGAUCUUCGGACCUUGCGCGAUUGAAUGAGCCGAUGUCGGAUUAGCUAGUUGGCGGGGUAAAGGCCCACCAAGGCGACGAUCCGUAGCUGGUCUGAGAGGAUGACCCGCCACACUGGAACUGAGACACGGUCCAGACUCCUACGGGAGGCAGCAGUGGGGAAUAUUGGACAAUGGGCGCAAGCCUGAUCCAGCCAUACCGCGUGGGUGAAGAAGGCCUUCGGGUUGUAAAGCCCUUUUGUUGGGAAAGAAAAGCAGCAGGUUAAUACCCCGCUGUUCUGACGGUACCCAAAGAAUAAGCACCGGCUAACUUCGUG
rnacentral:rRNA from 1 species